rnacentral:rRNA from 1 species
UGAGGAACAUGACCUUCGGCGGGGGAUAGCCGGCCCAACGGCCGGGUAAUACCGCGUACGACCACUUUGGGACAUCCCUCGGUGGUUAAAGCAGCAAUGCGCCGAUGGAGUGCCUCGCGGCCUAUCAGCUUAGUUGGUGAGGUAAUAGCUCACCAAGGCGAUGACGGGUAGCCGGCCUGAGAGGGUGACCGGCCACACUGGGACUGAGACACGGCCCAGACUCCGUACGGGAGGCAG